rnacentral:tRNA from 1 species
GGAUCGAAGCAGAAUGCAUUUCCCCUGCCCUCCGAAGGCAGAGGUCAGAGGUUCGAAUCCUCUUGGGUGCGCCA